UAGCUCAGUGGUUAAGAGCACUGGUUCCUCAUGCAGAGGACCCAGGUUCAAUUCCUGG
rnacentral:tRNA from 1 species